rnacentral:lncRNA from 1 species
GUUACAAGAUGCGCCUGUUUGCUACAAAGAAGAGUUUUAAACUCUGCAACGUCACGCAUAAAUAGAAACACGGACGGAGAAUGUAGCUAGUGUAGGGUGGAUAGAAGACAAUUCAUUACAUCUGUGUCCUGUCUGUAUUUGCAAAGGGUGUCAAUAGCCAACUGGAGGAGAUGUUCACCUGGGGCUAAAAGCAACAGUAACAUCCACCCUUGGAGCGAGAUGCCAUCACCAAGUCAAUUGCUUCAUGAAUCCCUGUCGUUUUGCAAAAUGUCCGAGGUACCCGCGAGCCAAAUGCGUGUAAGUAAUCUUAACUUGUAUAUUUUGGCGUGGAGACCGAAGUGUUAAGCCAUGUGAAAUUUAGUCUAACUGUUAUUAAAACAUAUAUGUAAAUCUUA